rnacentral:misc_RNA from 1 species
CCGGAGCUUACCUUCUGUGAAAUUAGGCGUCUGACAUUUUCUAGCCAAAAUUACGGCAUCGUUUAAAGAAUGGGAAAUGGAGUGAAGGAGGUCAAGACAUAGUGGGUUGGAGGUGGAAGCCGGGAAAUCAGCAAAAUCGGUGAGUUGGAUAUGGAGAUCAGCAAGCUUGGUUCUGAUUAGAGCCCAUUUGCCUUUAAAGGUCUGUACUUGAAUGAUUUCGUCUAAAAGAGACUGUAGAAGCUGAUUUGAGACAUUGAUAGGAUCGUCUUCUGCCACUUUCAUGGCGCUUUACAGGCUUUUAGGAGAUUUCAGAGAAAAAAAGAG